GAAGCCGCGCCGAGAGGCUCGUGUCAGUGGAAGUCUGGGUGUAGGCUGGCCGCGGUGGGAAGGCCUAGCGGUGCCUGCGGGAGGUGGAAAAGGAGGGGGGUCAGAGGUCAGUCCACGGAGAAGGUGGCGAGCUGAAGCGGCGGCCAGUUACGUGGCGGACCUGCGGGUCUCAGCUGGCACGUCACUUCCGACUGGUUGAGUUUUAGCCUUCCAGGAUUAGGUAACCAUUCCGAGGAGGAAGAGUAUUUCAAAAGUCUGUGAAGAAUGCGUUUGCCUGGAGACUGAUUAUUAACAAGAUUUUGUGCUGAAUUUGGAAGGAAAGCCACAGGGCUGCCCUGGAGGCAUGCGUGGACUCAUCAGCUGUUACAUUUGGAGGCCUGUUUCUUCUCUUCUCUUCCUGUACUUUUUACAGAAUUCCUUUGUUGACUGCAGCCAGGAUGAGAAUCCCUGCUGGUGACCUUUCCUCCUCCCCCUCCUGUCUGAGGGCUGUGGCUGUGGGGGCUGAGAUCUAGAGAAGAAGCCCCUCAGAGGGAAAAGGAACACAGGGUCAUUUGUCAUUGGAUUCUAUCAGAAAUCUGCACUUAUUCAGGCUGGCUUGGGUGGCCCACCUUGAGCCUGUGGACCCCAGGCCCCUCAUAUCUUGUGUCCUGGUGAUUCCAGAUACUCACUGAAUGACUUCACUCUAUUCUGUGUGUCACCAGCAGGUUACUAUGUCCAACUUCUGUUCCCAAAGUGGGUAUUAUUACACGAGGGCAUGAUACCGGAGGAUGGGAACACUGGGGCUAUCUUGGGAUCUACCUACAGCAGAGGUGACUUUGGGAACCACCUGAAUGUGUGGCCUUUCACAGGCUUGUGGCUAGGAAUGCAGAGACCAGACCAAAAGAAGAGUUCAAGUCCGAGGAUGUUGGUGAUCACUCCCCAGGAAUCCAGAUCAGAGUCGGGUUGUCACACAUAGUUGCAGGGAGCCAGGGCCUGAGGCUCCACCAGUCAGCGGACCACGUGUCAGACUCUGACUCGGAAUGGAGAUGGAGAAGACGGGACAGUGCUGCAGGCAUUUGGCACAGGUGGUGUGAGUGGCUGUCGUGUCAUCCCGCUGCCAGGAGCAGCAUUGACAGCAGUCCUGGCCUCAGGGUGCGGUGGUGUGAACCGUGGGAUCUGUGCCCAACAGUGAGGCAGUGGUUCCUCUUUGGGCCUUGACCUGGGGUGUGAUGGUGGAUUCUGUUCCUGCCUGUGCAGCCUUGGGCCUCUUCUGUGGCUUUCCCUGAAAUAAAAUGAGGCCUAGUACUUUC